GCUGAGAGUUGGGAAACUCCGGUGAAAUUCCGGGACUGUGCCGCAGCUGUGAUGGUAAGGCAAACAACAACAUUCACUUUUUACCUGCCAAGUCAGAAUGCCAACCUUAGC
rnacentral:ncRNA from 2 species